rnacentral:lncRNA from 1 species
CAAAUGCAUCAGACACAAGAUGAUGGCCACUAUUGUAAGCUCCUCCUGCCUCACCAACCCAUGCUGUUGCUGAGGUUGCCGAACUUCGAAGUAUGUUUUUGAGGCCGUUGAAUGUGCUAGCCUCUCCAUUGAGAUAUGAAGGAUCGAGAAUUUUUUCAGUUAUGUGUUCAUCAACUCCUGUAUUUGGGAUAAAGUAAGUUUUAGUUAUAAUCAAAUUUAUGGAAAUUGGAGAAAUAAAAUGUAAUAAUAUAUCUUGAUUAGUUGAAGUUACCUGGACCAAGGUUAUAAAUGUGGUGAGUGACCACAUCCACAGAUUUACCCGCUUUGGUUACAAAUUCUUUGAACCAAGUUGCAUCAAAGAAGCCUCCAGGUGAAAUAAGUAGUGGCUUAGGCUCAAUCCCCUUGUAUGCAUUUUGAAUGAUGAGUCGUAAAGAAGCAACAUCGGAAACAUAUUGAUCUGCAGAAACACUUGUUCCAAUUCCAUUCCCACAUAAUUCAUUGCCUGCCCAUGAAAAAUAGCUCAUUAUAGUUAGUCCACAUACAUAGACCCUCAAGCAAGAAGGAUUAUGUUCUUUAUGGCUUCAUAUACAGCAUCACAAUUACUUCUAUAGAGGAAAAAUUGCCAUUUUUGUUUCUUCUAACUAAAAGUAUUUGAUAAUUACAAAGAUGGUUAUUAAUUUCAGAAAGUCCUGGCUUGUGAUAAAGAUAAAGAUAGCCUUAAGAUUAACAUAAAAAAUUUAGUCUCAUUGUGCCAGUGUCACUUGCUAUUUUGGCAUUUGUAGUAAGAGCAGCAUAUAUAUGCUUACCAAGUUCCCAACCAUGAAUGAUGUAGUUCUUUUUUACGGUAUAACGUAUAAAUGAUUCGGCAUUGGAGUAGUCCCAAGGCCCAACUGCAGAACCAGAUUGUAUAGACUUUCCAGCAAGAGCAUUCAAUCCAAAUAUAAUCUUAGCCCUGAAAUAUACCUAUUAUUAAUGUUAAACUUGUCAAAAAACAAUUGUUAAUUUGCCAUAUUAACAAGAUGAACAUGUUUAGUCCUUACUCCUUAUACACAAUUAGAGGCAAAGGCCAAUGUAAAAAAUUAAAAGGGGACUGAUUUUUACCCUGCUUUUUUGAAAAAGCUGUUUAGCUCAUCCCAUCUAUGCAAGGGUAAGCACCCUUUAGUGAAACCAAACAUUUCACUAGUGUUCCAAACAAAAGGAGUACAUGGAUGGUGAUAAUCUUCAGUACCAUAUGUGACCUUAUCUUGCAAAGUUCCUCCUAAUCUAAUUUUCAAGGGUGAAAAUGCUGCACAACAUCAGAAGCAAUGAUAUCUUAAAUAAGUUCUCAAAAAAUUAUUAAUUGUUCAAUAGUUGAUGUAAAAGAUAGAGAAAUGUGAAUACAAUCUUACCUUUUACUGCAUUUAACAAAAUUUUGUUGUUGAGGUCCUGCAUGAUAUGAAAAUUAUAAGAUGUAAAUUCUCUCCUACCUUUGUGUAUAAGAUUCUUAAGGUUUGAAUAAAAGUUAUGACAUUAUUCAACCUUCAAUAAUUAAUUAAUUCAGUAAUUAAGAGGAAAAGAUACUAAUUUAUUCUCCUCAUACAAUGAGUAGAUAAUGACAUUAAAACAAAAAAAUUGUUUUUACAUGUUAUUUUGCAAAUGAGCUAAAGGAUCUUAAACAUGCAUUUCAGAUUCAAGCAUCAUUCAUUCCGACAAGGAAAAACACCAAGCACUGAAUAAUAUCUUAGACAGAAGAAUCUCAUGGUGUUACUUUCCUGCAGUGGCACAUUUAAAAUAUAUAAAAAAAACAAAAAACUUGUUUACAGAUUCAGAAACCAUAGCAGAAAAAGGAAAGUGAGAAUACCAGAUUAAGAAGAGAAGCAAGACCCCAACUACAUCUUCCAUAGUCACAUUUCUGAGGUGGCCACCAAUCCAAAGUGGCACACACAAAAUCAUCAUCAAUCUUUCCAAUAAAAGAUUUCCCAUGAAUAAAAACAAAACCUUUCUCUAUUGCAUCUCCUCUUCUUUCACCAUUCACAGCAUUCACUACAAUGAAGCUGAAGCAUACAAAAUAGUAGAUCCAUGAAUACCAACCCAGAAGCCUUAUUUGAGAACCCAUUUUCCUGAAUAAGACAAAGUCAAGAUCUUUGUUACAUAAAUGAUAAAUGGGUAGCUUGUACCUAGGAUGAAGAAGCUAUAGAGAUGAAAGAGUUUAAGGUUGUUUUACUGCAAACUCUGCAGACAUAAAUACAAAGAAAUGGAAUAUUGUGUGAAACAAGUUAUUAUUGAAACUAUAGAAAUACACACUUGAUGAAAACACACUUCAAUUCACGUGUACAUUACAGACUAUUUAUAAUUAUAUUGUCUCUCCCUCCACCUUCGCCUCCUCAGUUAUCGGUUUAGAAAAGGUAAUCAUAAUCUCAUAGAAUAUUUUAGACUUAUGUUUAUGUAAUUAAAUAAUUAAUGCAUGAUUAAAUUAAGUAUUUUGUUUUUAGUAUAAAAGUAUUUUUGCUAGUUAUCUGGUUGGAUAAAUAAAUUUUGAUGUUGGUUUUUUAAUGUAACAUGAGAAGAAACUGAUCUUUUUUCGUGAGAUAUUCUUCUAAUAAGUUGAAGAUUUACUUUUUUUUAAGGAUCUAAUAGAAACUUAUGAGAAAUGGUAUUUUCAUCAAGGUAAACAUUAGAGAAAAAACACGUAUAAGGAACCCUGUACUUAUAUAUUUAUGGGAAUUACACUAACCAGAAGCUGUAGACAAAUGCAUCAGACACAAGAUGAUGGCCACUAUUGUAAGCUCCUCCUGCCUCACCAACCCAUGCUGUUGCUGAGGUUGCCGAACUUCGAAGUAUGUUUUUGAGGCCGUUGAAUGUGCUAGCCUCUCCAUUGAGAUAUGAAGGAUCGAGAAUUUUUUCAGUUAUGUGUUCAUCAACUCCUGUAUUUGGGAUAAAGUAAGUUUUAGUUAUAAUCAAAUUUAUGGAAAUUGGAGAAAUAAAAUGUAAUAAUA